GUUGCGAUCCCCCCAGGGGUGAUCAGCGAC
rnacentral:other from 16 species